GGGUGAGUAACACGUAAGAAUCUACCUUUGGGACGGGGAUAACUUCUGGAAACGGAUGCUAAUACCCGAUACGCUGUGGAGUGAAAGAAUUUCGCCCAAAGAUGAUCUUGCGUCUGAUUAGCUAGUUGGUAGGGUAAUGGCUUACCAAGGCGACGAUCAGUAGCUGGUCUGAGAGGAUGGACAGCCACAUUGGAACUGAGACACGGUCCAAACUCCUACGGGAGGCAGCAGUGGGGAAUUUUCCGCAAUGGACGAAAGUCUGACGGAGCGACGCUGCGUGAAGGAUGACGGCCUGCGGGUUGUAAACUUCUUUUCUCGAAGAAGAAUAAAUGACGGUAUUCGAGGAAUAAGCAUCGGCUAACUCUGUGCCAGCAGCCGCGGUAAGACAGAGGAUGCAAGUGUUAUUCGGAUUGAUUGGGCGUAAAGCGUCUGUAGGCGGUUUAGAAAGUCUUUUGUGAAAUUCUUCAGCUCAACUGGGGGUCCGCAAAAGAAACUUCUAAGCUUGAGGGAAGUAGAGGUAUAGGGAAUUUCCGGUGGAGCGGUGAAAUGCGUAGAUAUCGGAAGGAACACCAAUAUGGCGAAGGCACUGUACUGGGCUUUACCUGACGCUAAGAGACGAAAGCUAAAGGAGUGAUUAGGAUUAGAUACCCUAGUAAUUUUAGCCGUAAACGAUGGAAACUCACUGCCGAGCCGGUAUUCGGAGCGGUGGUCAAGCUAACGCGUGAAGUUUCCCGCCUGGGGACUACGCAUGCAAAUGUGAAACUCAAAGGAAUUGACGGGGACCCGCACAAGCGGUGGAGUAUGUGGUUUAAUUCGAUGCAACGCGAAAAACCUUACCAGGGUUUGAAAUCAUU
rnacentral:rRNA from 1 species